UUUUUUUUAUUUUGCAUUUCAUUAGUUUGGUAAAAGCUCUUGAAUUAAAUCUUGAUUACUUUUAAUUAAGAUAACUCUUUUCACCUGCCCAUUUUCACAGAUCGUCAAAAUUCUCUGGGUGUUUUUUGAAAUUUAAAGAUUUUUAUAAAGAUCCAACACUACCUCCCCACACAUGUGGAGAGGGGGUGUUGGAUCUUUAUAAAAAUCUUUAAAUUUCAAAAAACACCGAGAGAAAUGUUGCGCCAAGUUUUUUUAACCAUUUAUUUUUUACCGUUUUGAAAUAAAGUGAGAAUAUAAAGAAUAAAUAUAAAAUGAUAGGUGUGGAGCAGACAUAACCUGAACUGUUGUAUGAUUCAGGACAGUUAAUUUUUUAUUAUUUUCAUAAUCACAUCGGCAAUUGUUGUUUUUAAAUAGAUAUAAAAUGCGUAUCAGAUAUGAUCCGUAUCACUCGAAAAUUUCUUUUGUUCUUUUGCGAAGGCAAGUAAAAUGUUCAAAUCUUCAAGAAAAAAUAAAAAAACCGUCCUUAAGUACAUCGAGUAAUUGUUCCGUCUCGGAAAAGCGGGACAUAUUUCCUCAUAUAGUCAGGCCCUAAGUACGUGCGUCAGACUUACAAAAUAUGGCAAUAAUUUCGCAUGCGCAAAAUAUUUCCAGAGUAAGUUUAUUUAUAAAAAUCGGUAAUCUAUUUAAAUGUUAUUUAAAGUCCAUUAAAUGGACUUUAAAUAACAUUUUAUAUAUUUUAUAAAUUGCCAAGCGAUUAAUAUGGAGCGGCAAAAUUUUGACGAUCUGAUCAAGGCUUUAAAAUUGUCAAUAUGAAACAUUACAUCAUAAUCACCAAAUUUAAAGUUAUUAUCAUGGGCCCUAUCCUAUAAAACUUUUACAAUAUUGUAAACUUUACAAUGUAAAUACGCCGAAAUUUUGUAACUACAUUGUAAAAUUUAAGCCGUCCUAUAAAACACGUUUUUAUGUAAUUGUAUACAAUUACAUAAAAACGUUUUUUAUUUAUUAUUAAAAUUAAAUAAAAAGACGUUUUUAUGUAAUUGGCGUUCUUAUGUAAAAUCUAAAAAUAUAUCUCGCAAAAGCGAUUUGAAAUUGCGCGCUAAUUUAACUUAAAUUUAACUAAAAAACAACGAAACAAGAUAUCGCUUUAAUAACACCUAUAAACCAACAUAGGAAAGUUUAAAAAAAAAAUAAUGACCUAUUUUUAAAUAAAAAUUUUAUAAAAAAAAUUGGCAUUAUUUCUGCAAUGAUAAAAAUAUUAAAAUAAUUCGGUUUUUUCGAAAACUAAAUAUUUAUUUAGCCUACAAAUAAAUAAGAUAAAAACGUUAAAAAAAAGGAGAAGAAUACUCUACCAGCAAAGUUAGUGGAUGGGAAUAAAAAAAAUGUUUCAAUUUUCAAACGAGGCUUGUAUGGUUGAAACAUUAAUUACACUUUACCUUAAGUUAAGCGAGAAAAGGGGUUUGCACUGAAUAACUUGUUAUCAUUGUUAAACCUAUUUUUAAAUUUUAAAGUAACCAUUUUGGUUUUAAUUAUAGCUUUACUUCCUUGUGGCAAUCGUAGCCUUACUUCCUUGUGGCAAAUUCUUAGCAACUUUUGCAAAAACCAAAAGCAUAAUUUAAUAUUUUUAUAAUCCUAUAUAAAGAUGAUUGUUUUCUAUCAAAUAAUUACAUGAAAGUAAAAGAAAACUAACUUUUAUGAGAAUGCUUACUAAAGAACAGAAAACUGUUAUGGCUAAUUUCAUUUUGCAAAACAAAGAGAAAAUGAUCGGUUCUUUUUCUCCAUUAUGCAACAUCAAGAUCGAAAAGAAAAAUGGCAAGAAGUUAGAAAUCUUCUUGUAGCUCACGGUCUUUCUUCACUGUUUCAGCUGAACAUGUUCGGACAACUUAAUGGCAAAACCUAAGAAGAUCAACAAUGGAUAAGUUUAAAAAACUCAACAAAUCUGGUGCUGAAGGUGGUAAAUUAUUCGAUUAUGAAUGCACUGUGAUGGAGAUCAUUGGAAAAGAAUCAGCACAUAUUCUACCAGUUAAUGUUGAUGAUAUGAGAGUUGGAAAAAAAGUAUUGAUAAAAAAAAAUUGCCGGCAAUGCCGUUCUUAAUGAAAACAUUUCUUUAGAUAAUUCAGUAGACAUCCUAGACCCAGGUAGUUUUGUAUCAUAUUUAAAAAUCAAUAAACUUUUUCUAAGAUGUUUUAAAAAGUUAUUUGAAUCAGUUAUAACAGUUGUUGAUAAAAAUUCUAAAUAAAAAUUACAAAGUAGAUGUUAAAGUGGUACGGUGGUUGAUAAAUGCAACAUAUGUAUAAAAUUAAAAUUUUUAAUGUUUUCAUUUUAAGUUAAAACAAACUCUAAUUUAUAGAAAUCUCAAUUGGGCAAGACGCUAGUUCAUCAAGCUCUUGCAUUGUUGUACAAGUUAAUCCAGCCUCUAGCGUAGACUAUGUCUCUAAAACGUCUGCCGAAACAGUUCCAAAAUCUUUAGCUGCAAGAUCGAUUGCCCAGAAUAUACCAGCUAUAUCUACAAAUACUAAACGUUCUAUGUUUUGCAGUUUAUGACGUAUAAUUCAUUGUUAGAUGCUAUACAGACAUACAAAGAAGAAAUGAUUACAAAGUAUCGUGUCGCAAAGGAAUCAAAAGAUUUUUCAAAAGAUGAUAAUUCUUCAAACGACUGCGACUUCAGAAAUCUCACGUUAAUUCGUACAUCUAAUUUCAAGGAAAAACAUUUAUAUAUUGGACAAUGGAUUUAACACUAGAAAACUUUUUUUUAUAAUUGAUGACAUAUUUUUAUAAACAU